rnacentral:rRNA from 1 species
CCUACGGGGUGCAGCAGGCGCGAAACCUCUGCAAUAGGCGAAAGCUUGACAGGGUUACUCUGAGUGAUUUCCGUUAAGGAGAUCUUUUGGCACCUCUAAAAAUGGUGCAGAAUAAGGGGUGGGCAAGUCUGGUGUCAGCCGCCGCGGUAAUACCAGCACCCCGAGUGGUCGGGACGUUUAUUGGGCCUAAAGCAUCCGUAGCCGGUUCUACAAGUCUUCCGUUAAAUCCACCUGCUUAACAGAUGGGCUGCGGAAGAUACUAUAGAGCUAGGAGGCGGGAGAGGCAAGCGGUACUCGAUGGGUAGGGGUAAAAUCCGUUGAUCCAUUGAAGACCACCAGUGGCGAAGGCGGCUUGCCAGAACGCGCUCGACGGUGAGGGAUGAAAGCUGGGGGAGCAAACCGGAUUAGAUACCCACGUAGUCC